GGCUUCCUAGUAAAGCGGCGAACGGGUGAGUAACGCGUGGGGAAUCUGCCUUCGGGUGGGGGAUAACACUCCUAGCGGGGUGCUAAUACCGCAUGACAUCUCUCGAUCACAUGUUCGAGAGAUCAAAGGUGGCCUCUGUUUCAAGCUACCGCCGGAAGAUGACCCCGCGUCCGAUUAGCUUGUUGGUGAGGUAAAGGCUCACCAAGGCGACGAUCGGUAGCUGGUCUGAGAGGAUGGUCAGCCACACUGGGACUGAGAUACGGCCCAGACUCCUACGGGAGGCAGCAGUAGGGAAUAUUGCGCAAUGGGCGAAAGCCUGACGCAGCAACGCCGCGUGAGCGAUGAAGGUCUUCGGAUCGUAAAGCUCUGUCAGAGGGGACGAACCGUCCCGUGGUAAAUAGUCACGGGAUCUGACGGUACCCUCAGAGGAAGCACCGGCCAACUCCGUGCCAGCAGCCGCGGUAAUACGGAGGGUGCAAGCGUUGUUCGGAUUCACUGGGCGUAAAGAGCAUGUAGGCGGGUCGGCCAGUCCCGUGUGUAAUCUCCCGGCUUAACCGGGAAACUGCACGGGAUACUACUGAUCUUGAGUGCGAGAGAGGAUGGCGGAAUUCCUGGUGUAGCGGUGAAAUGCGUAGAUAUCAGGAGGAACACCGGUGGCGAAGGCGGCCAUCUGGCUCGACACUGACGCUGAGAUGCGAAGGCCGGGGGAGCAAACAGGAUUAGAUACCCUGGUAGUCCCGGCA
rnacentral:rRNA from 1 species